GGCAGCAGUGGGGAAUAUUGGACAAUGGGCGCAAGCCUGAUCCAGCAAUGCCGCGUGGGUGAAGACGGCCUGCGGGUUGUAAAGCCCUUUGGGUGGGGAAGAACGGUGGUUUGCGAACAGCGGACUGCUCUGACAUUACCCACGGAACAAGCACCGGCUAACUCCGUGCCAGCAGCCGCGGUAAUACGGAGGGUGCGAGCGUUAAUCGGAAUUACUGGGCGUAAAGAGCGCGUAGGCGGUUCGAUGAGUCGGAGGUGAAAUCCCUCGGCUUAACCGAGGACCCGCGUCCGAUACUGUCGAACUUGAGUGCAGGAGAGGAGAGCGGAAUUCCCAGUGUAGCGGUGAAAUGCGUAGAUAUUGGGAGGAACACCGGUGGCGAAGGCGGCUCUCUGGACUGUCACUGACACUGAGGCGCGAAAGCUAGGGGAGCAAACGGGAUUAGAUACCCUGGUAGUCCACGCCGUAAACGAUGUCAACUAGCCGUUGGAUCCGCUUUAAGGGUUUAGUGGCGCAGCUAACGCGAUAAGUUGACCGCCUGGGGAGUACGGCCGCAAGGUUAAAACUUAAAGGAAUUGACGG
rnacentral:rRNA from 1 species